CGGCAGACUGAGCCCUGAACUCAUUCCUAUACUGACCUCCCCUGACCCUGGCUCCAGACUGGGCCCCAACCCAGGCCAUCUUGCUGGCAUAUAUCAUCGGUCACAGUCCAAGUGACACCAGAAUAAUCUCAAGGUCUCUCCGAAGGACUUGGAAAUCAAUUGUGAGACAUGGGAGUGCCCAGCAUGGCCUGCCUGCACCAAAGAAGACACUGUACUCUAUGAGCAAAGCAGGAUUGCAGUAGUGCAAAAGAAACAUGAGGUGUGAGAUAUACUUUCGGAGCAGGACCCAUAAAGGGAACAGAGCAGAGUAGAAGAGAGAGAAGAUCAGAGAGAGCUGAGCACAGACAGAACUAG